rnacentral:rRNA from 1 species
GAUGAACGCUAGCGGCAGGCUUAAUACAUGCAAGUCGUGGGGCAGCAUGGGGUAGCAAUACUCUGAUGGCGACCGGCAAACGGGUGCGGAACACGUACGCAACCUUCCCAAAACUGGUGAAUAGCCCUCCGAAAGGAGGAUUAAUACACCGUAACAUAACGAAGUGGCAUCACUUUGUUAUUAUAGCUCCGGCGGUUUUGGAUGGGCGUGCGCCUGAUUAGGUAGUUGGCGGGGUAACGGCCCACCAAGCCUACGAUCAGUAACUGGUGUGAGAGCACGACCAGUCACACGGGCACUGAGACACGGGCCCGACUCCUACGGGAGGCAGCAGUAAGGAAUAUUGGUCAAUGGACGCAAGUCUGAACCAGCCAUGCCGCGUGAAGGAUGAAGGUCCUCUGGAUUGUAAACUUCUUUUAUCUGGGACGAAAAAGGGCUUUCUAGCUCACUUGACGGUACCAGAGGAAUAAGCACCGGCUAACUCCGUGCCAGCAGCCGCGGUAAA